GAUGAACGCUGGCGGCGUGCCUAAUACAUGCAAGUCGAGCGAACGGACGAGAAGCUUGCUUCUCUGAUGUUAGCGGCGGACGGGUGAGUAACACGUGGAUAACCUACCUAUAAGACUGGGAUAACUUCGGGAAACCGGAGCUAAUACCGGAUGAUAUUUUGAACCGCAUGGUUCAAAAGUGAAAGACGGUCUUGCUGUCACUUAUAGAUGGAUCCGCGCUGCAUUAGCUAGUUGGUAAGGUAACGGCUUACCAAGGCAACGAUGCAUAGCCGACCUGAGAGGGUGAUCCGCCACACUGGGACUGAGGCACGGUCCAGACUCCUGCGGGAGGCAGCAGUAGGGAAUCUUCCGCAAUGGGCGAAAGCCUGACGGAGCAACGCCGCGGGAGUGAUGAAGGUCUUCGGAUCCGAAAACUCUGUUAUUUGGGAAGAACAUAUGUGUAAGUAACUGUGCACAUCUUGACGGUACCUAAUCAAAAAGCCACGGCUAACUACGUG
rnacentral:rRNA from 1 species